CAAAUUCGGUUCUUCGAUAGAGAGAAUGAAAGUGAACCAAAUCCAGAAGUUUUAACUACUGAGUUCUUUACUCCAAGGGAAAACCAAACGGAGGAGUUAACCGAAAAGCUCAAUUCCAUCACUAAGGAGAUGACCCAGAAGCUCGAUUCAGCUGUUGAUGGUGAUGAGGAGAACCUUCCUCAUGAAGGUGAUGAUGAAGAGAACCUUCCUCAGGAAGGUGAUGAUGAAGAGAACCUUCCUCGGGAAGGUGAUGAUGA